rnacentral:rRNA from 1 species
UGGGGAAUCUUGCACAAUGGGGGCAACCCUGAUGCAGCGACGCCGCGUGAGCGAUGAAGGUUUUCGAAUCGUAAAGCUCUGUCCUAUGGGAAGAUAAUGACGGUACCAUAGGAGGAAGCCCCGGCUAACUACGUGCCAGCAGCCGCGGUAAUACGUAGGGGGCGAGCGUUGUCCGGAAUUACUGGGCGUAAAGCGAGCGCAGGCGGUUAGAAAAGUCUGAAGUGAAAGGCAGUGGCUCAACCAUUGUAGGCUUUGGAAACUGUUUAACUUGAGUGCAGAAGGGGAGAGUGGAAUUCCAUGUGUAGCGGUGAAAUGCGUAGAUAUAUGGAGGAACACCGGUGGCGAAAGCGGCUCUCUGGUCUGUAACUGACGCUGAGGCUCGAAAGCGUGGGGAGCGAACAGG